UGGGGAAUCUUGGACAAUGGGCGCAAGCCUGAUCCAGCCAUGCCGCGUGAGUGACGAAGGCCUUAGGGUUGUAAAACUCUUUCGUCGGGGACGAUAAUGACGGUACCCGAAGAAGAAGCUCCGGCUAACUUCGUGCCAGCAGCCGCGGUAAUACGAAGGGAGCUAGCGUUGUUCGGAAUCACUGGGCGUAAAGCGCACGUAGGCGGAUAGUUAAGUCAGGGGUGAAAUCCUGGGGCUCAACCCCAGAACUGCCUUUGAUACUGGCUGUCUCGAGGUCGAGAGAGGUUGGUGGAAUUCCUAGUGUAGAGGUGAAAUUCGUAGAUAUUAGGAAGAACACCAGUGGCGAAGGCGGCCAACUGGCUCGAUACUGACGCUGAGGUGCGAAAGCGUGGGGAGCAAACAGGAUUAGAUACCCCGGUAGUCCCUGAGCGGGCUGGCAAGGCGCAU
rnacentral:rRNA from 1 species